GUAUCGAUUGUGGCCACCUGCUGCAUUGUCGAGUAGCUAUGUUCGGAAGGGAUAAAUGCUGAAAGCAUAUUAAGCGUGAAGCCUACUUCAAGAUAAGAUUUCCCUAUGAGGACACAGAGAGAAUAUCUGUUUGAUAGGUGCAAGGUGUAAGCACGGUAACGUGUUCAGCCGAAGCAUACUAACAGUCCCAUUGACUUUUUAUG
rnacentral:rRNA from 1 species